UACGGAAGGGGCUAGCGUUGUUCGGAAUUACUGGGCGUAAAGCGCACAUAGGCGGCUUUGUAAGUUAGAUGUGAAAGCCUGGGGCUCAACUCCAGAACUGCCUUUAAGACUGCAUCGCUUGAAUCAUGGAGAGGCGGGUGGAAUUCCGAGUGUAGAGGUGAAAUUCGUAGAUAUUCGGAAGAACACCAGUGGCGAAGGCGGCCCGCUGGACAUGUAUUGACGCUGAGGUGCGAAAGCGUGGGGAGCAAACAGG
rnacentral:rRNA from 1 species